rnacentral:miRNA from 1 species
UUUCUGUGUUGGUGUAAUGUACUCAGGUGAAUAUGAUGCUUGUGAUGUUCACAAGCAUCAUAUUCACCUGAGUACAUUACACCAACA